UGAAUAGUUUGGCUCAUGGAAAGAAAUACUAGAAGCUUAAAUACUUGAUCUAUCUUUGCAGUCUAGAGAACAAAUUUUGUAGAAUAUUCAAAAAUAUCCAUCUUCUUUGAUCUGUCAUAUUCUUCCACUUGUUUGUAGUUCUAGGAUAUUUCUUCUCAUUUUGUUUUUAUAAUAGAGGAUAGGUGCCAUCAAUGUCAAAUUAUAAGAAUUGAAGAUGGAAACAUGUAAAGCUCAUCACAGGUAUGUUUUCAUAACUUCUUGGUGGAUAACUAGUGGGUUAGAAGGCUUAAGUUUGAUGAGAAAAAUAAAGAAAGGGUAG
rnacentral:lncRNA from 1 species